CCACAUGCUGGGCAGUCAACUGCGAUUGAAAUGUCAUUUGUCAAAAUAAAUUUAACGGCCUUUCAAGCCGCCGCCGAAACGCCCCCGAGGGCCAACUAAAACCGCACCCAGAUCGGAUCGGGUCGGGUCGGGUCGGAGCGGAUAUAUCCGAAUUCGAAUGCGAUCUGCUGGUUGGACAAUGUGCCACAAUGGCGUGCGUGUUCAACACGUGUGCUAAUCUCAUCAAAACAACCGACCAGGUACCACCACCGGCCCAGCAGCCCAGCUCCAGUCCGAGCCACUAAAUGCAACAAAUCAACCUUCAAUCAAGACAACCGCACCCCGCAACACACCGCAACACACCAUUCCAUUCGGACACCAGAGCGAUCCAAAGUCGGGGCGUUGUUCGCCGAUCCUUGUGCGGCAUCAUCAAACUGGCAUAAAUCUUUAAUGGAAUUCAUUCAUUAUGGGGCCACAAAGAGGCACUUUGGCCAUACCAACAAUGGCCCUGGAGGCCCUCGUUCUUGCCGUUUUGUAUCCUUGCGGGCAUUGUAAAUUCGCCUUUGUAUUUGCGGGACCCGGGUCGCAAUUAUCUGUGUGUUUUCCGCACAGGGAAGAGGCAGGCGAUCCUGGGUCUUUGUGGCCUUUGUCAGUGAUAAAGCGAAGGCGCUAAAGGAUAACACCUUCUUAACACCUACCAGGUAUAUUGAUUGUCUUGUGCUGCGGCGAAUUGAAAGGCGACUGUGUCAAAAAAGCAUUCCGCCAAUGCCAUUGAUGGAAAGUAUUGGGCCGAAUAAAUUUUGCGGUAAACGG
ensembl:ncRNA lncRNA:CR43453 long non-coding RNA:CR43453